AGAUAAGGGAUUGCACGAUUUCUCAAUAGUUCCGUCGCUGCGUUUCCAUCACGUCGAUUGCUGUCAGAGCCACGCCUAUGAAGAAUUUGUGCGGCUCUGAUACCAAUUGAUGCUAUGGAAACAUCGAUAUUGCCUGAUUCCGUGUUUCCUUUUACCUUGUUGU